AUUGAACGCUGGCGGCAGGCCUAACACAUGCAAGUCGAGCGGAUGAAGGGAGCUUGCUCCUGGAUUCAGCGGCGGACGGGUGAGUAAUGCCUAGGAAUCUGCCUGGUAGUGGGGGAUAACGUCCGGAAACGGGCGCUAAUACCCCAUACGUCCUGAGGGAGAAAGUGGGGGAUCUUCGGACCUCACGCUAUCUGAUGAGCCUAGGUGGGAUUAGCUAGUUGGUGGGGUAAAGGCCUACCAAGGCGACGAUCCGUAACUGGUCUGAGAGGAUGAUCAGUCACACUGGAACUGAGACACGGUCCAGACUCCUACGGGAGGCAGCAGUGGGGAAUAUUGGACAAUGGGCGAAAGCCUGAUCCAGCCAUGCCGCGUGUGUGAAGAAGGUCUUCGGAUUGUAAAGCACUUUAAGUUGGGAGGAAGGGCAGUAAGUUAAUACCUUGCUGUUUUGACGGUACCAACAGAAUAAGCACCGGCUAACUUCGUG
rnacentral:rRNA from 1 species